rnacentral:rRNA from 1 species
AAGUCGGAAUUGCUAGUAAUGGCAGGUCAGCAUACUGCCGUGAAUACGUUCCCGGGCCUUGUACACACCGCCCGUCACACCAUGAGAGUUAGGAAUACCCGAAGCCUGUGAGCUAACUUUAAUAGAGGCAGCAGUCGAAGGUAGAACUAAUGAUUGGGGUGAAGUCGUAACAAGGUACC